CCGCCAUCUUUUGAGGCUCAAAACCACACUAAUGCACAUCUUGAUGCGGCCUGACCUCUGACAGUCUAUCUGUCCCUCUUUCUGGUGCAGUGGUAAGGAACAGGGCCUGUAACCCGAAGACUGCUGUAACGCAAAGUGUUAAGCACAGAGUGAACUGCGGUGACAUUGAAAAUGGGCCUGCGUCUGAAGAUUCGGGGCCUUCACUCGACCGGGCAGAACCAGCCUGCUUUCACAACCAGGAGCCAAACCUGCAUUUCCCGUGUGACCAGGGAAGCCACAGGCAUCCGGUCUCCGACAUUCAAGCCUGGGUUCAGUGCCGUUGCCUGGUGAAAAUUCCGUGGUUUAAGC